GGGAAUGCAUUUGGUUUGGUCUUCCUUUAUUUUCUUCCAUGGAGAAGAAAGGAAUAUUUUGCAGCCUUUCGCUACAGCAACUCUGAAUCAUUUCGUCGAGAAAGCAGGAAGCAUCAGUCCGUCGAGAGUGCAGUGGUGGUGGGAAGGAGAUCAAUGUCAAUCUUCUCCAAGCCUCCGGGCAGUUGGAGGCUGCGUGCUACAGCGGCGUCGAGUUCUAGACCGUGCCGACGUUGAUCUGGGCGAUGCUUAAUGUACCGGCCGGGUGAGGCGAUAUGGUGAGGGGUGACCGCGCUGGGGUACGACUACGGACUACGGGGAGGCGGAGCUCCCCACCGCCGGCGGGUGCGCCUUCUCGCCAUGAAAUGCACUGGGAACAGCUCGCUUGGGACGCGAUUAGCUCCCCGGCCAACGCAGCGAGGCCAAUCCCGCAACGCUCCUCGAUCUCAAGGACGCUGGUGAACGCCUCAGACAACUCAUGAGUUAUGAGAUAAUUUGUAACCCAUUUACAGUUCGGAUUUGACUGCCACGCUAACUGUUUAAGAUCUGUUCAGGAGCCCUAUUAAGGAAACUUUUAUAUACAGAUGACCUCGAAGUCUCCAACAUGCUGUAAGAAGCCUUGCUGUGGGCGGACAGAAGAACAGAGAGGAAAGAGGUAGGUGUGGCAUACUGCCAGUGGGAUACAUAAAUUAUAAACUAUGUCAGCUAUAUACUGCAAUACGAGGAACAGGCCCAGCAGCAUUCAUAUGCAGUUCCAUGUACUCCAGAGCUCAGCUAUGGUGCUACAUUCAUCAGGUCAGAUAUGUAUCGUACUGCUAUUUUUGUUCUGAAAAAACCUCUGGUACUACAUUGCUCAGGUCAGAUAUGUAUGGUACUGCUAUUUUUUUCCGGAUACCCUUGGACAGCUGUAUGCCUUUUGAGCAGCUAUAACAGGAGUAUGUCGGAUUACUUACCCUUGGACGGCAGCUUGGAACUUCAACCUGAUCUGAGCAGUCAGCUGGCUUUGCAAAACUGAGUUGAUUGAGUAUUUAUAAUAAUGGUCAUGGCCAAUGCCAAGGCAUUAACAACUUUCGGCUUAUACCAAACGUGCUGAGAACUAACUUAUUCCGACUCAAGAUAGAAGCUGCAGCGGUUUUGUGAAGUGAACCAAAUGAAGAAGUUACACUUCCAUGGGUAGAUGACAGCAACACAAAGCUUAAUGUAUAUAUGUUAAUUAAAAUGAUAUAUCCUGUGCAAUCACUUAUUAUUUGGUGCAAUCAUGCUAUUAAACCAUCCAACGGUUUCAUAUGAAAGGGGUUAAUAUAAAAUAGGUACUAGGUUUUAGAUGAAAGAGGUUAAAUAUAAAAUAGCAGCCACUGUUGAAUUUUAAUCGGAUGCACUAGGUUGCUAGAUUGUAUAUGCUUGCACUAAUAUGAUUGAUUGCAUAGGACAUGACUGCUAGGCGUUGCUUGUAUCAUGAUAUAUAGUAGACCUUCUGAAUCAUUGUUUUUUGUUUAUAACAUAUGGCACCGAUGAUAUUUCGCUUAGUGAAAGAGUGUACUAAGCACUAGCUAGCAGCUGCUUGUUUUUUGUUUAUGCCAUAUCGUUUUAUCCUUUUAGAUCUUUUCCACUACUAACAUUUGAAAGGGAUCGGAGUACUAAUAAUCUACUGAUAAAUCAUUUGUGCUUCUCAACAACGAAAUGAAGAAAUAUACAUCUUGUGCCAGCAUAUUAUUCAUGUAUAGGUAAUAAUUUGACAUUGUUGUCGGUUUGUGUAACAUAAAACUAUGUAUUUCUCCGUUCUUCUGCAGAUUGAGUUGUUUCCUUCGGUGGUCCGCGCUAUAUAUACUGCAUUCAAGUGGGGGUGUGUGCAGGCGCAGCUGGUAUCACGCUCGUGUAUAGGCUGGCUGCAGAACGCACAGUUCUUCGGCACUGUGCGCUGCUCAAUGUACGUAUUGAUAUUGAUGUGUGGUACGUACGAAUAUGCCUUGUUGCAUAGAUACAACUUCUUUGGUCGUUUUUAAUUUUUUUUUAAAAUUCAAAGUACUACUACUUCAGAAUGACAAGACUAGAUACAUGUGCACACACUGUUUAUCCUAAGC